CUGAGUCCCAGCACUUUGGUUUUGACUGCAGAGUUGGCUACAUGGACUUCGUCAGCUUGCUCUGUUGUCUGGCCAUGAAGGUCUACUCAUCUGCUCCAGGAAUCCAGUCGAGACACCAAGGUGGAGGGAAAAAAAAGAAAAAAAAAAUCAACAGAAAACUCUCCCCCAGGUUCUGGGCUGGUCUACGGAGAUCAAGACUGUAUCAAGAACCGCAGUUCAGAAAAUAACUCACGACAGCUUAAAGCAGCCAUCCUAACCUUGGACUGGAGGAGACUUCACACAAUAGAGCCUGAAGAUCUGAUGAUACCUUCCAACAUUAGAGAAAAUGAGGCUUUCAUGUUGUGUUCACCUCUCUUUUCCGUAACUUUCCUUUCUAACUCACUGUGGCACCCUUUGGCCUCAGCCUGCUUAGGGUUUCCUGCAGUAAUUUAACGUUCUAUGUUUCUGAUCAAACUCAUCCACUGCAAAUGCUGUGCUAUCUUAGCACAAUGCAGUGAGUUAAGACCGGAGAGCCUCCAGCACACAGACAUCUAAGGAAAAUUAAAGAUUUCUUUGCUGUUUGUGCAGUUUUCUCAGACUGUUUGACAAAAGUUAUUGGUGGCUAUUUUUUAAAUGAAAAGAGUAGUGAGAAAAUAACUUUGUGGCAUAUUGGGCUAGCAGAUUGUUCAGACAUUGUACAACAACAAUAAAGCCUUUAGGAUUCUUUGACUGACAUAUAUAAUGAAUAUAGCUGUCAAACUUUUCUGCGGCAAUUUUAUAUUGCAUUGACGAGCUAUUUCACUGGACAGGUUUUGCAUAAAAGGAAUGAUUCACUUUGUUGUGAUGCUGCUAUUUACAGAGCACGGGGGACAGUGGAAUCGUUACGAUAUAAAUAUUAAUCUACAAUUUUCUUAUGGAAUACGUAAUUUUGUAUGCAACAUAUACCAUGCGUAUAUCUGAUACAAGGAAAGAGGCAUUGUUCUGCAGUGAGAAGGGGGGCCUGGAGCUGCUGGGGUUUGUUGUUCAUUCACUGAUUCAUUAUGUGGCCUUUGAAAAGGCACUUAGUCAUUCUGCAGUUUAAUUUUUCUCUCUGUAGAACAGGGAACAAUGCAUCAACACAAAUCGUUCCAUGACUUUUGCACUCAUUGUUAUCGCACCGAGUUGUUGAGGUCAUGGAGAUGAUUCAAGGGUCAAGGGAUGAUCUGAGCAGCCCACGUGCCCAGGGAGCCCAGAGACACAGAACGACUGCACUCUUCUCAAACAUCUUCUUUCUCCUACUAAGGCAGCGGCAGGGUAAGUUGGGACUGCCCAGCACUGCUGUUGUUCUGUGCCCAUUCUCUUACUUUGGUUAUGAACAAUGACUUGC
rnacentral:lncRNA from 1 species